rnacentral:rRNA from 1 species
AUUGAACGCUGGCGGCAGGCCUAACACAUGCAAGUCGAACGAGUGGCGGACGGGUGAGUAAUGUCUGGGAAACUGCCUGAUGGAGGGGGAUAACUACUGGAAACGGUAGCUAAUACCGCAUACCAUCAGAUGUGCCCAGGUGGGUUUUGCUAGCGGGGGGGGUAACGGCUCACCAAGGCGACGAUGCCUAGCUGGUCUGAGAGGAUGACCGGCCACACUGGAACUGAGACACGGUCCAGACUCCUACGGGAGGCAGCAGUGGGGAAUAUUGCACAAUGGGCGAAAGCCUGAUGGAGCCAUGCCGCGUGUAUGAAGAAGGCCUUCGGGUUGUAAAGUACUGUCGGCGGGGAGGCGUUACCCGCAGAGGAAGCACCGGCUAACUCCGUGCCAGCAGCCGCGGUAAUAC